rnacentral:rRNA from 1 species
UGGGGAAUAUUGCACAAUGGGCGCAAGCCUGAUGCAGCCAUGCCGCGUGUAUGAAGAAGGCCUUCGGGUUGUAAAGUACUUUCAGCGGGGAGGAAGGGAGUAAAGUUAAUACCUUUGCUCAUUGACGUUACCCGCAGAAGAAGCACCGGCUAACUCCGUGCCAGCAGCCGCGGUAAUACGGAGGGUGCAAGCGUUAAUCGGAAUUACUGGGCGUAAAGCGCACGCAGGCGGUUUGUUAAGUCAGAUGUGAAAUCCCCGGGCUCAACCUGGGAACUGCAUCUGAUACUGGCAAGCUUGAGGCUCGCAGAGGGGGGUAGAAUUCCAGGUGUAGCGGUGAAAUGCGUAGAGAUCUGGAGGAAUACCGGUGGCGAAGGCGGCCCCCUGGACAAAGACUGACGCUCAGGUGCGAAAGCGUGGGGAGCAAACAGG